CUACAAGUUUCCAGGUCUUCACAUGUUAUAACAUAUGCAUUGAUUAUAUCCCAUCAGUGUGCCAUAUGAGGGGCGUAGUACACCAGCAAGGUUUACAUUAUGCUUUGUGAACACUGUAAGGUUCUGAUGGUGGCUCAGAUGCAAUCUUUUGAAUACCUAUUAAGGAAAAGGACAGAAGGCAUGCAAUGACAAAAGGAGCAAAGGACAAGGCUGGAGUCAGAGACAGUGCAGCAUCGCAAAGAGCAGCAUCAGCAGGCAAGGAGGG